rnacentral:ncRNA from 2 species
GAUAUUCUUCAGGGCAGGGUUAAUUUCCCUACCGGCGGUAUAGCCGCGAGCCUUUUAUGGCAUGAUUCGGUGAAACUCCGAGGCCGACAGUAAAGUCUGGAUAAAAGAAGAAAUAA